rnacentral:rRNA from 1 species
UGGAGAGUUUGAUCCUGGCUCAGAUUGAACGCUGGCGGCAGGCCUAACACAUGCAAGUCGAGCGGUAGCACAGAGAGCUUGCUCUCGGGUGACGAGCGGCGGACGGGUGAGUAAUGUCUGGGAAACUGCCUGAUGGAGGGGGAUAACUACUGGAAACGGUAGCUAAUACCGCAUAACGUCGCAAGACCAAAGAGGGGGACCUUCGGGCCUCUUGCCAUCAGAUGUGCCCAGAUGGGAUUAGCUAGUAGGUGGGGUAAUGGCUCACCUAGGCGACGAUCCCUAGCUGGUCUGAGAGGAUGACCAGCCACACUGGAACUGAGACACGGUCCAGACUCCUACGGGAGGCAGCAGUGGGGAAUAUUGCACAAUGGGCGCAAGCCUGAUGCAGCCAUGCCGCGUGUGUGAAGAAGGCCUUCGGGUUGUAAAGCACUUUCAGCGAGGAGGAAGGCAUUAAGGUUAAUAACCUUAGUGAUUGACGUUACUCGCAGAAGAAGCACCGGCUAACUCCGUGCCAGCAGCCGCGGUA